rnacentral:rRNA from 1 species
AGAGUUUGAUCAUGGCUCAGGACGAACGCUGGCGGCGCGCCUAACACAUGCAAGUCGAACGAGCGAGAGAGAGCUUGCUUUCUCGAGCGAGUGGCGAACGGGUGAGUAACGCGUGAGGAACCUGCCUCAAAGAGGGGGACAACAGUUGGAAACGACUGCUAAUACCGCAUAAGCCCACAGUUCGGCAUCGAGCAGAGGGAAAAGGAGCAAUCCGCUUUGAGAUGGCCUCGCGUCCGAUUAGCUAGUUGGUGAGGUAAUGGCCCACCAAGGCGACGAUCGGUAGCCGGACUGAGAGGUUGAACGGCCACAUUGGGACUGAGACACGGCCCAGACUCCUACGGGAGGCACA